AUGCUCUUUGCUCAUACCACCACCUUCUCUGUGCAUAUCUUAACUUUUUAUUGUAUUCACAUAAUUUCAUUUUAUCUUAUUAGCGCCCUCUCUAUCUGUAUAGCAUUUGCCAUGGCCUCAGGCUCGUCUUGGACUCCCAAGCAAAACAAAUUGUUUGAGAAUGCUUUGGCCAUCUAUGACAAGGACACCCCUGAUCGCUGGCACAAUCUAGCCAGGGCUGUGGGUGGCAAAACCGUGGAGGAAGUGAAGAGGCAUUAUGAGUUGCUGGUUGAAGAUGUGAGGCAGAUUGAAGCUGGCCAAGUUCCCUUGCCUAAUUACAGAAAAGCUGGCAAUAACUACAUGGAUGAAGAACAAAGAUAUUGACGAAAAGUGUAUGCGGAAGAAGAGGCCAGAACAAUUGGUAGUGGCUCUUGCCCAGGCUAAGGCUGAUGCCAUCAUAGCUGAGUUAUAAGCUGAUAAAAAUCAAGAGAAAGGUGCUCAACUGACUAUUUUGAUUGCAGCUGACACACUAUAUCUUGAUUCCUUCUUCUUCAUUGCGAAGCUUAUGGUGUGGAAAUCAGGUGCAUCUAGUCUCACGACUAGUGCAAAAUAUGGUCUGAGAAUACAAGUCUUCUGCUAGGAGAAAACUAUUUUGUUUAAGCUACUACACCAUGAAUCUUCCAGGCCAUUGGAUUGAAGUGUGAGAUAUAAAGGGGCAGCUUUGGUGAAACUUUGCCCUGAAAAAGGAAAACCCAAUUAAUUGAACUUCUUUGUUAGCAGGGAUAGAUGCAUGUCAAAUUAUCAAUCUAGGCCUAUGUUUCGAUUGUUCAACUUUGCUAUGACAAAGUUGUAGUUCAUGCUGAAAAAGUCAUCUCGAUGUUUUGUUGUUUAUUGUCCUCUCUGCUAUUAUUGAUGGUAACUUGGUAUUUUCAUCUUUAUUUUUUUAAUCCAAUGUUACCUCAA